rnacentral:lncRNA from 1 species
AGCAGCAUGUAGUGGCUACCCAGUAGAAUAGAAUGAUGAACCUCUAGGUGCAGUUAUCAUGUGAUACAGUCCUACUAUCGUGGAUCCCUACAAGACGGAGGUCAUGGACAACUCGUCAAACCCCAUCGUCUGUCAUAUGUGAAGAUUUAUUCGACUUAAGUUCGAGAGUAGAAAACUCUUUCUCCACUGUGCAUACUGUCCCGGCCGAGGUCUUACGAACUCAGUCUUAUAAAUCACAUAGGAUCUCUCCUUAUCUAUCAAGAUCGAUAGAUUCCUUAUAGGUGCAUACCCUACUCCUACAGUGAACUUACUGCAGCCAAUCUACACUACAUGGACCCAUAUGGCUAGAGACCAUGUAUGUGUGCAGUCAAACUACAAUAACCUCACUGUGAGUAGCCGAAGCACCGCAGGUCAAAGGACCAGUCACACUACUGCAACAUCAAGCAAAGUCACUGACGAGUGGAUAGACAUCCAAGUGACUUCUUGUAUUGGUCACGCUCAGUACCUUUGUUCUUAACAAGCACCUGCACUAUUACUUCAGUGUCGCCACACCGUGGACUCGAGUCUCGUCCAUU